GCGCACCAGGCGAGAAAAUUUUUCUCAAUGGGGGCAACCCUGAAGGAGCGACGCCGCGUGGAGGAUGAAGGCUUUCGGGUUGUAAACUCCUGUCAUUUGAGAACAAGUGGCCGAACCUAACUACUUCGGCCUUGAUAGUAUCAGAAGAGGAAGGGACGGCUAACUCUGUGCCAGCAGCCGCGGUAAUACAGAGGUCCCAAGCGUUGUUCGGAUUCAUUGGGCGUAAAGGGUGCGUAGGUGGCGCCGUCAGUGGGGUGUGAAAUUUCGGAGCUUAACUCCGAAACUGCAUUCCAUACUGCGGUGCUUGAGGACUGGAGAGGAGACUGGAAUUUACGGUGUAGCAGUGAAAUGCGUAGAGAUCGUAAGGAAGACCAGUGGCGAAGGCGGGUCUCUGGACAGUUCCUGACACUGAGGCACGAAGGCCAGGGGAGCAAACGGGAUUAGAUA
rnacentral:rRNA from 1 species